ACCACCGGCGGACGGCUCAGUAACACGUCGGUAACCUACCCUCGGGAGGGGGAUAACCCCGGGAAACUGGGGCUAAUCCCCCAUAGGCCUGAGGUACUGGAAGGUCCUCAGGCCGAAAGGGGCUUUUGCCCGCCCGAGGAUGGGCCGGCGGCCGAUUAGGUAGUUGGUGGGGUAACGGCCCACCAAGCCGAAGAUCGGUACGGGCUGUGAGAGCAGGAGCCCGGAGAUGGACACUGAGACACGGGUCCAGGCCCUACGGGGCGCAGCAGGCGCGAAACCUCCGCAAUGCGGGAAACCGCGACGGGGGGACCCCGAGUGCCGUGGCACCGCCACGGCUUUUCCGGAGUGUAAAAAGCUCCGGGAAUAAGGGCUGGGCAAGUCCGGUGGCAGCCGCCGCGGUAAUACCGGCGGCCCGAGUGGCGGCCGUGUUUAUUGGGCCUAAAGGGUCCGUAGCCGGCCCCGUAAGUCUCCCGGGAAAUCGGGCGGCUCAACCGUCCGCUUCCGGGAGAUACUGCGGGGCUAGGGACCGGGAGAGGCCGGGGGUACUCCCGGGGUAGGGGUAAAAUCCUAUAAUCCCGGGGGGACCACCUGUGGCGAAGG
rnacentral:rRNA from 1 species